UGAGGAGAGUUGACCCAUAAACGGAGAGGUUGAGAGAGAAAAAGAGAGGUAGAGUGAGCAAAGUAGACCCAUAAACGGAGAGGUUGAGAGAGAAAAAGAGAGGUAGAGUGAGGAAAGUUGACCCAUAAACGGAGAGGUUGAGAGAGAAAGAGAGGUAGAGUGAGCAAAGUAGACCCAUAAACGGAGAGGUUGAGAGAGAAAAAGAGAGGUAGAGUGAGGAAAGUUGACCCAUAAACGGAGAGGUUGAGAGAAAAAGAGAGGUAGAGUGAGCAAAGUAGACCCAUAAACGGAGAGGUUGAGAGAGAAAAAGAGAGGUAGAGUGAGCAAAGUAGACCCAUAAACGGAGAGGUUGAGAGAGAAAAAGAGAGGUAGAGUGAGCAAAGUAGACCCAUAAACGGAGAGGUUGAGAGAGAAAAAGAGAGGUAGAGUGAGCAAAGUAGACCCAUAAACGGAGAGGUUGAGAGAGAAAGAGACAGGUAGAGUGAGCAAAGUAGACUAUCACUGCUCUAAUUACUGAUGCUCUCUGACCUGCUAUUCCUCCUCCCCCUCUUUCUCUCCCUUCUCCUCUCCCUCUCCCUCCUCCCCCUUUCCCUCUCCCUCUAAAAACGGUGAGAGGAAGGGAGUGAGUGAAUAGGUAAAAAAAAAAUAGAGCCGCAUUAUUAUUUCAACAUGAAUGGGGUUGUGGGUGACAGGGCGAGGGAGGGGCGGAUUGGGGAGGACGUGGGUGGGCAGGUAAAGGUCUAGGAAAGGGUGGGAAGCUGGUGAGUGGAUGGGAGGGAGAGAGAGAGUCAAGGGCGGGAGGGAGGAGGGCAAGGACCGGGCCAAAAGGACUCAUUCCCUUUAAACCGGUUCGUGGCUCAUCAUCUGGCAGGCACAGUCCACCCUCUUCUUACUCCCUUUCUUCCUUCCUCUUCCUCUUCUCACCCUCCUUCACCUUCUUGCUCACCCUCCCACCCCUUCCACUGACAUACGUACAGCCCCAGACCAUGAUCUUUCCUUCCUCACUAUACCCUUCUCCCAUGUUUUCUUCCCAUUCCUGUUCAUUUUUCUCCCUUUUCCCCAUACUUCCAUAUCCACGCAGCUCCUCUCCUCUUCUCUGCUCAUCCCUCCAUUCCCUUCACGCGCUAUUUCCCUCCUUAGCUUCCCUCCAUCACCGCCCUGCUCCCUUUCCCUCCUUUCGUCUAUCUCACCUGCCGCAACGCACCUGGAGCAGCCCACCUUCUACCCCGCCUGUCCCCCCCUCCUUCCCUCCCUCCUUCUCUCAGUCGUUUGUCACGUGGUAAGACACGAGGCCGGAGGAGGAGAAAGAGGAGGAGGAGGGAGAGGAGGAAUAGAAAGGGAGGACAGGAGUGUGGUUCGGCAGGAGAAGGUUUGUGUAAGGAAACUUUGGACACGAAAAGCUUAUUAAUCAGUCUUCUCUACUUAAGUUCAGCCGGAUGGCCAACUUUUGUCAUCAGAUUUUUUAACUCGUGGAAUAGUCCAAACACGCACACGCACACGCACACGCACACACACACACACACACACACACACACAGUUCCUCCAUCCCUCUCCUCCCUCCUUCUCUCCUCAUGGCUUCGUUUACUCUCCUGUCCCGUUGUUGUGUUUAUCUUUCAUUAUUGCAAGGUCGCUCACUCUCCUCUUUUUCUUCUCUACCGCCAAUACACUCCUUUUCUUCCUCCUCCUCCUCCUCCUCGUCUUCCUGCCCUUCCUCCUCCCUUUUUCUCUUGCCCCUCCUCCUCCAACUGCCCUCUCUCCUCUUCUUUCACUUCCUCCUCCUCCUCCUCCUGCCACUGUCACGCCUUUCAGCCUUCUGUUAAUAGUUAAAGGACUACAUUCGACGUUCCACAAACAAGCCUCAACUGGACAAUCUCUCUCUCUCUCUCUCUCUCUCUCUCUCUCUCUCUCUCUCUCUCUCUCUCUCUCUCUCUCUCUCUCUCUCU